rnacentral:rRNA from 1 species
CCUACGGGGGGCAGCAGUGAGGAAUAUUGGUCAAUGGACGAGAGUCUGAACCAGCCAAGUAGCGUGAAGGAUGACUGCCCUAUGGGUUGUAAACUUCUUUUAUAUGGGAAUAAAAUGUUCCACGUGUGGGAUUUUGUAUGUACCAUAUGAAUAAGGAUAGGCUAACUCCGUGCCAGCAGCCGCGGUAAUACGGAGGAUCCGAGCGUUAUCCGGAUUUAUUGGGUUUAAAGGGAGCGUAGGUGGAUUGUUAAGUCAGUUGUGAAAGUUUGCGGCUCAACCGUAAAAUUGCAGUUGAAACUGGCAGUCUUGAGUACAGUAGAGGUGGGCGGAAUGCGUGGUGUAGCGGUGAAAUGCUUAGAUAUCACGAAGAACUCCGAUUGCGAAGGCAGUUCACUGGACUGCAACUGACACUGAGGCUCGAAAGUGUGGGUAUCAAACAGGAUUAGAUACCCGGGUAGUC